UUCUGUAAGGGGCAACUCCCGCCGAAAGUCGAGAGGCGCAAAGUCACCGGUCUACCGAGCUUCGGCUUCAGGACAGCGGGACUGCCGGA
rnacentral:ncRNA from 1 species